rnacentral:tRNA from 1 species
GGUGAGAUGGCUCAGCCGGUAAGAGCACCCAACUGCUCUUCUGAAGGUUCUGAGUUCAAAUCCCAGCAACCCCA